UCCGUUGAUCAAAUAAUAAAAUUCAAAGUGAUACAUCGUCUUUAGUCUAAUAUGAUAAAAUCCAAGGAGAUAUAUGGUCUUUAGUCUAAUAUGAUAAAAUCAAAUACCUCUAUUACUUGGGCAAGUCAUGUGACUGUUGGCUAACAUUCUUAAAAUAACUUUGGGCUUACAGGAUUGCAAUGGCGAUAUAAAAUGGGAUCUGAGAAGAGAAAAAACAAUCAUAGCUAACUUCUUACUUAUUUUGGGACUUGCAGUCAUUCCCGAGGCUCAGAGAUCAGCUUGACGCAGAUCGGGUGGGCGUGUUGAGAAUGGUGAAAACAAUGGUUGCAGAGUCUGAGAGAAGGGUAUUUAGUGGAGGGGAAUUUGCAGAGGAUUUCUGAGAGGGGUUAACAGAAGCAUUGGCCUCAGAGAGUGGAUUUUCAAGGAUGGC